AGCGAACGCUGGCGGCGUACUUAACACAUGCAAGUCGAACGAGGAUCGCUACGUGAGCAAUCAUGCGGCGGCUCUAGUGGCGUACGGGUGAGUAACACGUGGGCAACCUGCCCUGGAGCCUGGGAUACCCUCUCGAAAGGGAGGCUAAUACCGGAUACGUUCCCCGGGUCGCGAGAUCGUGGGGAGGAAAGGUGGCGCAAGCUGCCGCUCUUGGAGGGGCUCGCGGCCAUCAGCUAGUUGGUGAGUAAUGGCUCACCAAGCUAUGACGGGUAGCUGGCCUGAGAGGACGACCAGCCACACGGGGACUUGAGACACGGCCCCGACUCCUACGGGAGGCAGCA
rnacentral:rRNA from 1 species